rnacentral:rRNA from 1 species
CGGACGGGUGAGUAAUGCUUGGGAAUCUAGCUUAUGGAGGGGGAUAACUACGGGAAACUGUAGCUAAUACCGCGUAAUAUCGAAAGAUUAAAGUGUGGGACCUUCGGGCCACAUGCCAUAGGAUGAGCCCAAGUGGGAUUAGGUAGUUGGUGAGGUAAAGGCUCACCAAGCCGACGAUCUCUAGCCGGUCUGAGAGGAUGACCAGCCACACUGGGACUGAGACACGGCCCAG